UGCAGUCGAGCGAAUGAAGAGGAGCUUGCUCCUCUGAUUUAGCGGCGGACGGGUGAGUAACACGUGGGUAAUCUGCCUGUAAGACGGGGAUAACUCCGGGAAACCGGGGCUAAUACCGGAUAAUAAGAAGAAACGCAUGUUUCUUUUUUGAAAGUCGGUUUCGGCUGACACUUACAGAUGAGCCCGCGGCGCAUUAGCUAGUUGGUGAGGUAACGGCUCACCAAGGCGACGAUGCGUAGCCGACCUGAGAGGGUGAUCGGCCACACUGGGACUGAGACACGGCCCAGACUCCUACGGGAGGCAGCAGUAGGGAAUCUUCGGCAAUGGGCGAAAGCCUGACCGAGCAACGCCGCGUGAGCGAUGAAGGCCUUCGGGUCGUAAAGCUCUGUUGUUAGAGAAGAACAAGUACGAGAGUAACUGCUCGUACCUUGACGGUACCUAACCAGAAAGCCACGGCUAACUACGUGCCAGCAGCCGCGGUAAUACGUAGGUGGCAAGCGUUAUCCGGAAUUAUUGGGCGUAAAGCGCGCGCAGGCGGUCUCUUAAGUCUGAUGUGAAAGCCCACGGCUCAACCGUGGAGGGUCAUUGGAAACUGGGAGACUUGAGUGCAGGAGAGAAAAGUGGAAUUCCACGUGUAGCGGUGAAAUGCGUAGAGAUGUGGAGGAACACCAGUGGCGAAGGCGGCUUUUUGGCCUGUAACUGACGCUGAGGCGCGAAAGCGUGGG
rnacentral:rRNA from 1 species